rnacentral:lncRNA from 1 species
AGGAUGUCCGGCAUCGAGGCUCACAGGUGCAGGGGACAGGCAGGCGCUCGGCCCUGACCUGCCUCCUUAAGUCCUUGGAUCCUCCUCUGGAUGCAGUGACCUUGAGGGAGAAGGAGAAGCCGGUGACUUGAUGCCCACGUGGAUCAUACAAAGCUUUAGGAUGGUAAAGUCAGCAGUCGAAGGGGGAAGUCCACAGCUAGACUGUGUGCAGAGCGGGCCAGAAGAAACCCCCUGUUUCUGGGGGUAAAGCCCUUAUUUUUUCAUUUGAUCGGCUCGCUGUGUCCUUCACACUCACAGAGAGACCGCUCCCCGUUGAACAGAACAGCACUGGUUGUGACUUGGCACAGCUCUGGGCCACUCUGACCUCUGGGUUGUUGUUACCUGAUCACAAACCUUCUUGGGUUGGUGCUUUUGUUUGUUUGUUUGUUCAAAUUGAAGACCUACACUUUCGAAUUCAAAUUGGUUUUCUUACCGAAAUAUAAUUCUGACAUAUAAUUAUAGAAAAAUGACUGAUCAAAAUCCACAUCUUGAUGAAAGGAAACUUGGGCAGUUGAUCCAUGGCACAAUUGUGAAGCUGUCACUCAUCAGGUGGCCUUGAAAGGCCCCGGCAGGAGCGGGGGUGACGGUGGAAGUGAACAUUUCUUUGAAGUCUGAGCCUGGUGAUUUUAAAUGGCCCAUUUAUUUGGCUGCCCUCCUUCCCAGGGUGCCGCAGUCUGGCUGCCUGUGGCUCUCAACACCAGGGUCCUGGUCACUGCUGCAGCGUACAAUGUUGUAAUCGCGAUGAUGAAGCUGAUUUUGAGGAGUGAUGAGAGGAGGACCUGCCCUGGACGAGACUUCUGGGCCUGACCUUGGCUCUGCAGCCACUCUUUGAAGACAGCAGAAUCGUGACCUCUGGCUCUCGUAGGUCUACUUCUCAGAAACUCUCGGGGUUGCUCAUUUUGAGAGAGACUUCAAGGCCUGAUUCCCCUUCGCUUGGGUCAGUCCAAACACUCAUUCAUCUUAAUUCUCAACACCUCCUAGUGACUGCCAGGCUCCCUGGCUGCUCCAGGCAGGCCCUCAAC